rnacentral:rRNA from 1 species
ACACCGCCCGUCACACCAUGGAAGUUGGUUACACCUUAAGGCAGAGCGUAAAACCUUUGACUACGGUACGAUCAGCGACUGGGGUGAAGUCGUAACAAGGUAGCCGUAGGGGAACCUGCGGCUGGAUCACCUCCUUU